UGAGGAAGCACUUUGCCUGGCUGCAUCCAGAGCACAAAGGUUUGAAAACCAUAAAGUGUCACCAGUAGUAAGGCCAUAUAAGGCUUUGGAGGUGGUGGCUAAUUGGACCUGGGACACAAAAAAUGUUCCAAAAUAUAAAAAAUAAGGUGUCCAAGAUACGGUUUUGCAAACCAGCUGGAUCUUGCUUUUGGGCCGUGCAUGUUAGGGUACAAGUGGUGGAUGAACAGCUUUCCAGAGCUGGUUCCUGGUAUAUCUGCAAACGCACUGGUUUCCCAUUGCUGUUUGUCGUCACUCCACCCAGUUCUUGAACGCAGACUCCAUUGCAUCCCUUCUCCCCUGCCAGUCCCCUCGCUGGCCCAGCUCCCCGCAGGCACCCAAAAUCCUGCAACUUCCCAGCUUCUUGCUGUCAGAGGUUUUGGGGAGGGCAGAGUUAUCUCCUGGGUGCAAAAGCCGCAGGCUUUACAUCAGCAGUAUGCUGCUGAUCCCAUGCAACCCCUCUCCAACCUUAUCUGUAUGCCUGGCAGCUUCAGGAAUGCAGACAAAGGUGACCUAUUGGGGCAGCAACGGUCUUGCCUGAAGAUUCAGGACAGCUUUCUCUCCAGGGCAAGUCAAUGAGUAACUUGCCGCUGUUAGCAGAAUUCAAGGAGCCGGGCAAACAAUUUGACCUUGUUCAUGCAGCAGUGAGCACUGUGGAUCUCAGCCUGCAGGAAAAGCAAACAAGCUGGAAGCUAAAGGGGAUGGGGCCAGGCAGGGACAACAGGACGGAGGGUAUAGCGUGGAAUCAAAUGAAAAUAAAGCAGAGCCUGUCACUAGCUGCAGCACGACCCUGAUGGGGAAAAAAAAGGAUUGGAGUCUGUUGAAAUUCCUGUCCAUACUCCCACUAUUCAGCUUUCUCAUGGGCUCUGCAGGAGAUGUCUUCAUUUCUUUGCAGGGCUCCUCACAGCUUGGCUCUUGGCCAUCUUGCAGCUUAACAGUAUUGCCAGUAUUCUUACUGCAGCUCUCGUGAUGCUUUCCCCUAUGCCCCCAGCCCCUGGACUCCUGGGGUCAUGCAACACAAGGAUGGCAUACGUAUGAAUUUCCCUGGCCUAGGCCCCGCAGCCUUGCACCCAGCACCAAAAAAGCCCUCGCUGACAUGACAAGAGAAGCAAGGACCCCAUCACCAAUCAAAAAGCACCCUUGCAAGACAGAGCACUGCUCUUAUCCCGAUGUAAGAAGUUUGCAGCAGAGCAAGGAGCAGAAACCAGAUCUCCUGCAUCCCAGGCUGGUGCCAUAAUCAUUUACCUUUCCCUGCUGCAGCUUCUGUGGGGGGGAAAUAAAAAUCAGAGACCAUCAGACGUAACCCAACAAUCAGCUCUCUACCUUUUCCAUCUACUGCCGCUGCCCCUACAUAUUUCUUUCAUUUCAGUUUUCUCUAUUGCGUCCUCUUACAUGGGACAGAUCCUUGCAGAGCUACAGCAGAGCUCUGAAGAUGCACAAAAUGAGACCGUCUUCCCAGAAAUGCCCGUUUUGGUUUUUUUUUUAAAAAGCUUGAUAGACGUGCUCAGCUCUAAAAGGAAUAUUUUAAGCACGCAUCCUAGUCAAUUCAUUAUUGCAGCAUCCCACACAUUUCUGGUGAUGCCUGGGCCAGUGUGGCAAUAUUAUUAUAUUACAACUUCCUUGAUCCCAGCAGUCACAUAUGGAAGUAAAGGACUAAUUGGUAGAGUUAUAAAAUCACUGAGAUUUGGAGAGGAUCUGCACAGCUGAGCGGUCUGUAUAACCCCUCCGUUAGAAGAGGGCUCACUGCGGAGUGCAUUAUGUAAUGCAUCUAAUACAUUAUGAUUAUUUUAGGGUUAUGUAUUUUUUUUAAAUAAUUGUACCGUUUAGUGUCACAGUGAAAAAGUAUAGAUCCUAUGUAGUUCGUGUUUGGGAACGAUUUAGAAAGCUUGUCCAAAGAAAAAGCUAUUUGUUUGAUAACCUAAUAAACACUUAUCACGCUCA